rnacentral:rRNA from 1 species
GGCGUAAAGAGCUUGUAGGCGGCUUGUCGCGUCUGCUGUGAAAGCCCGGGGCUUAACCCCGGGUCUGCAGUGGGUACGGGCAGGCUAGAGUGUGGUAGGGGAGACUGGAAUUCCUGGUGUAGCGGUGGAAUGCGCAGAUAUCAGGAGGAACACCGAUGGCGAAGGCAGGUCUCUGGGCCAUUACUGACGCUGAGAAGCGAAAGCGUGGGGAGCGAACAGGAUUAGAUACCCUGGUAGUCCACGCCGUAAACGUUGGGCGCUAGGUGUGGGUCCCAUUCCACGGGGUCCAUGCCGCAGCUAACGCAUUAAGCGCCCCGCCUGGGGAGUACGGCCGCAAGGCUAAAACUCAAAGGAAUUGACGGGGGCCCGCACAAGCGGCGGAGCAUGCGGAUUAAUUCGAUGCAACGCGAAGAACCUUACCAAGGCUUGACAUGUACCGGAAACCCUCGGAGACGGGGGCCCCGCAAGGCUGGUACACAGGUGGUGCAUGGUUGUCGUCAGCUCGUGUCGUGAGAUGUUGGGUUAAGUCCCGCAACGAGCGCAACCCUCGUUCUAUGUUGCCAGCGGUUCGGCCGGGGACUCAUAGGAGACUGCCGGGGUCAACUCGGAGGAAGGU